CUGGAUGAUUACCUGGAAAACAUGGGGAUAAAACUCACAGAGGACAAGAUGAUGAAACUGCUGGGCAAACUGCCAACUGACGCUAAUGGAAGACUAUACAAGAAAAGGUUGUUAAAAGAACUGGAGAAUAUUGAAGGGAUAAAGAUUCCUUCAAAUAAGGUGGGAGAGUUCAUUAAAAAUGCAGACAUUAAACUCGAUGAUAAAGACAUCCAGAUACUGAUGGACCGUCUGCCAGUUGAUCGU